UACGGAGGGUGCGAGCGUUGUCCGGAAUCAUUGGGCGUAAAGGGCGCGUAGGUGGCGGGACAAGCGUGCGGUGAAAGCUCGGGGCUCAACCCCGGGUCGGCCGUGCGAACUGUUUUGCUUGAGCACUGUAGAGGCAGGCGGAAUUCCGGGUGUAGCGGUGGAAUGCGUAGAGAUCCGGAAGAACACCCGUGGCGAAGGCGGCUCUCUGGGACGGUACUGACGCUGAGACGCGAAAGCGUGGGGAGCGAACAGG
rnacentral:rRNA from 1 species